rnacentral:rRNA from 1 species
UACGUAGGGUGCAAGCGUUAAUCGGAAUUACUGGGCGUAAAGCGUGCGCAGGCGGUUUUGUAAGUCAGAUGUGAAAUCCCCGGGCUUAACCUGGGAACUGCGUUUGAAACUACAAGGCUAGAGUGUGGCAGAGGGGGGUGGAAUUCCACGUGUAGCAGUGAAAUGCGUAGAUAUCAGGAGGAACACCGAUGGCGAAGGCAGGUCUCUGGGCUGACACUGACGCUCAUGCACGAAAGCGUGGGGAGCAAACAGG